UUGGUGUCCUCACCCCUCUUGCCUUGAAAACGCCUGUGAAAAUGAUAUCUGAUGGCCAGCGGUGACUUGGCAGCAGCCAUUAUUUUUCUUCUUUUAUUGGAAUGUUUGCUGAGAAAUGCAGGAUGGUCUAGAGUAAUUUUUAAUGUAUGUGUUUAAUAUAAAUAGAUUUUAAAAAAAGGAAACAAAACAAUGAAAGCCACUAAAGAGUAACUCCUUGUCAUAUUAUGGCCUCAAAUGUAACCAAAUACUUGCUCCACUUUGUAGAAAAGCCAAUGAAAUUAAAUAAGCAUAAACAAAUAUUAUGGAAGAAAGCAGAGGACCCUCAGCCAAACUAUCAUCACUGUAAGAACUUAAAGAGCACAGUUGCUUGUCUCAAACACUGUCAAGGCCACAGAAAAGACUAGCUUAAAGAUAAGCUCCACAGCAAGGACUCGAGGGAAGCACAGAAGGGAGGAAUUUGCCCCAAGAAGAUGCUUAUUCCAGGCCUGGUGGAGGCAAGAUCUGCUGAGCACAUCCUGGUCAACAUAUCCAGACAAAAAUUCUUACUGUGGCAAACUGUGGGAGAGGAAGCAAUUGCUCAUGCACAUGCUGCCCCAAGUUAUGGGAACAUCUGUGACCACCCCAUGGAUACCCAGAACUUGGACUGUAUAAAGGUGGUACCCCCAGAAGAACGACCACAGAACCCCAUCACCAAGAAGCCCAGGGUAAAGAAGGACAAACAUGACAACUUUGGA